ensembl:snRNA U1 U1 spliceosomal RNA
AUACUUUCCUGGCAGGGGAGAUACCAUGAUCAUGAAAGUGGUUUUCCCAGGGCAAGGUCUUAUCCAUUGCACUCCGAUGUGCUGACCCCUGUGAUUUCUCCAAAUGUGGGAAGCUGACGGCAUAAUUUCCGGUAGUGAGGGACUGUGUUCACACUGUCCCCUG